rnacentral:rRNA from 1 species
GGUAGCAUAAUCAUUAGUUUUUUAAUUGAAAGCUGGUAUGAAUGGUUGGACGAGAUAUUAACUGUUUCAUAAAAAUUUAAUUUAAAAUUUUAUUUUUUAGUUAAAAAGCUAAAAUAGAUUUAAAAGACGAGAAGACCCUAUAAAUCUUUAUAUUUAAAGUUAUUUAUAUUUUAUAGAUUUUUUUAUUAUUAAUAAUUUAUAAUAUUUUAUUGGGGUGAUAUUAAAAUUUAAUAAACUUUUAAUUAUUUAAAACAUUAAUUUAUGAAUUAUUGAUCCAUUAUUAAUGAUUAAAAAUUUAAGUUACUUUAGGGAUAACAGCGUAAUUUUUUUGGAAAGUUCAUAUUUAUAAAAAAGAUUGCGACCUCGAUGUUGGAUUAAGAUAUAUUUUUAGGUGCAGUAGCUUAAAGGUUAAGUCUGUUCGACUUUUA